GAUGAACGCUGGCGGCGUGCCUAAUACAUGCAAGUCGAACGAGGUGCUUUUGUAGCAAUACGAGAGUAUCCUAGUGGCGAACGGGUGAGUAACGCGUUGGUGACCUACCCCAAAGUGUGGAAUAACAGUCCGAAAGGAUUGCUAAUACCGCAUGUGGUUAUCGGGUUUAGAAACUGAUAACUAAAGGAGCAAUUCGCUUUGGGAGGGACCUGCGUCCCAUCAGCUAGUUGGUGAGGUAAUGGCUCACCAAGGCUACGACGGGUAGGGGACCUGAGAGGGUGACCCCCACAAUGGAACUGAAACACGGUCCAUACACCUACGGGUGGCAGCAGUAGGGAAUAUUGCACAAUGGGCGAAAGCCUGAUGCAGCAACGCCGCGUGCACGAUGAAGGCCUUCGGGUCGUAAAGUGCUUUUCUGGGAGAUGAGAAGGGACAGUAUCCCAGGAAUAAGUCUCGGCUAACUACGUG
rnacentral:rRNA from 1 species